rnacentral:lncRNA from 1 species
UUUGAAGCAAUUAUGCUCGGAGCGUUUCAGCGACUGUCUCUCUAGUAGGGAGGCUCCUUGGCUGUUUAUAUUCAAGAUGAAAGGCUCCAGGUUAACAUUUCCCUCACAGGAAAUUCAUUCAAACCGUGUUCAGUGGGGGGAGGCUGUCGAGAUGUAUCAGGAGUGACAAAUCUCAGUCAGAAAUAGAGCCCUGGGUGGACUGUCUGAUCGCUGUGGGCCGGGGGUGGAAGGCGCGGAGCUGGAGGGCAAGUGGCUGCCCAGCCUGCCGUCUGAGGAUCUGUUCGUGAAAGCGUCCUGCUCACUGGACCUGCUUCCUCGAGAAGCUGUUCUUGGCCAAAGGACCGUCCAAGCAGUUUCCCGGAGUCCAGCUCGGUGUCCGUGGGCGGGAGCCUGGGAGCCGAGGGAGGGCUGGCCCGAGACCACACGGGGGACGCCUGCCUGGCCCUCCCAGGCUGCUUCUGCGCUCCGGUUUACAAGACGACGCUCUUCCUGCCCGAUGCGAGCUGGAGGGAAGACUGCCAACUUCUGUCUUUCUGGAAAAUCCAUUUUGUGA